rnacentral:rRNA from 1 species
AUUGAACGCUGGCGGCAGGCCUAACACAUGCAAGUCGAGCGGAGCGGCGGAGGGGGGAGUAAUGCCAAGGAAUGUGCAUGGUAGUGGGGGAUAAGGUCCGGAAACGGGCGCUAAUACUGAUAACUCUAAGAUGAGGCUAGGUCGGAUUAGCUAGUUGGGGGGGUAAAGGCCUACCAAGGCGACGAUCCGGAACUGGUCUGGGAGGAUGAUCAGUCACACUUGAACUGAGACACGGUCCAGACUCCUACGGGAGGCAGCAGUGGGGAAUAUUGGACAAUGGGCGAAAGCCUGAUCCAGCCAUGCCGCGUGUAUGAAGAAGGUCUUCGGAUUGUAAAGCACUUUAAGUUGGGAGGCGUUACCAACAGAAUAAGCACCGGCUAACUUCGUGCCAGCAGCCGCGGUAAUUC